CACCGCGGUUAUACGAGAGGCCCAAGUUGAAAGACCCUGGCGUAAAGAGUGGUUAAGCUAGAAUUUAAACUAAAGCCGAAUAUCCUCACGGCUGUUAUACGCACCCGAAGAUAAGAAGACCAACCACGAAGGUAGCUUUAUUUAACUGAACCCACGAAAGCUGCGGCA
rnacentral:rRNA from 1 species